GCUAAGGCACACAACAUACUAGGGCAGGCAACCCCAUAAGAUACAUUUCAGGGGAAAGGAAACCAACCAGGACAUGUCCUGUUCUAAUCAACUUUCAUUUUCUACGACUGCCAGUAACUGAAGAUAGACAACCACAAACAACAUAAUGAAGCCAUUUUCAGAAUCGUUUGCUCCGGCUCCCUCCGUUUCAUGUCAAACUUGGCGUUCAUUUGUUACCAACAGUAAUGAAAUGCUGGCUGUAGCAUGAGCCUGUUUGAGGACAAAAGCAGAUGCAGAACAACCACCACCACCUCCACCAAGGCAGCAUGCUGAUCCCUCACUACUCUUUCCAGCCCUCUCCAUUUUUAAUAUAAAGACCACGCUGAAGUGUGUCCGCAGCUGACGGUGAUGAGGCAGGCUCUCCACUCCCAUAGCUGGUGGGUGCUUAACUCUCUAUCCAUGCAAUCAGUUGGUGCUUAGAGAACCUCUCCGAGCCACUAUGUAGCAUCUUUAAUUCACUUUGGAAGCUCACCCACUCUCUUUUUCAGUUAAACCGUGUACUGUCAUCAGAGAGUGUAACCACCCCAAAACCAUCCUUAAGUGGUUAUUAUCUCUCAAAUAGAAGGGGAGCAUAACAACUGGGAAUCUGUGAUAAAUAUGCUUGACCAUAAAUAUAUGUAUUUUAUAUGUAAUAUAUGCAUACUAGGGUGAAGAUUUUGCCUUGAUUCAGAUGAUGAAUUAUAAUUGACAUUUUUCAACCCAAAGUAGUAACAACAAAAAUUAAAAAGUAUGAAUUAGGAUAAAGGAGCAUUGUCCCUGAUAAUCAAUGCCAUGACUAGAUUUUUUUUUUUGCUUUAUGUGGAAUAAGAAAAGGCAUGGCUCAAGUUAAUACAAUUUUUAAAAAAUAAAAACUACCUUUCAAAGGGAAGUGGGUGCUGAGUUCAUUUUAGUUGCUCAAUUCUAUAAUUUCUAAAAUGGAACCAUCAUAAACUGGGAAGCUAACAUUCUCCUAAAGAAUUCACUGUGCUCCUCAGAGCAUUUUAUCAGCAAUUCAAGAUGUAUUAGAAUUGAUAAUUUUACAGAAUCUGGUAGGUGGCACAAAUUUCCAAGAAAAUGAAAAUGCAUUCCAAAGUUUGGAAAGUAUUUCCCUCUCACAAAAGGCCGAAAGGCUGCCUUCCUUCUUCACCGAGAUAUCUCGAUUUCUCGGGAGCAUUUUUGCACCAUGUUCAUCCUUUACGGGGGUCUUAAGAAGCCACCACUCUGCUGGCCACGCAUUCUCUUAGCAGCACAUGUAGGCAGAACCCAGCUGUGUGGGUCUAAAAUUCAGAAACUGCCGAGCAUUUAUGUUUGUCCCCCAGAUUUCAAAGUAAUGCUGACACGAUAAUAAAGUCAGUUGAAAAUGUGUCUCUCCCACAGCUGAAAAGAACCCAGGAGCACUUCUAUGCUGUACAGUUGAGGCAAGUUAGAAGCUCUCUGGAGUAAAGAUUUUAAAGUAAAAGGGGGUUUGAAGCUGAUGUAGAACUUAAAUGGCUUAUUGUUAAAUUGCAAGUGAUUGCAGGAACUGUUUCAAAACUCAAGACUUAACAGACUUUUUUUAAAGGGUUGGGACAGGACUUAGCUGUCUGCAAAUCAUGCACACCCUGAACAUGGAAAUUCUGGGGGAGGGAGUUAGUUACAAGGUGCUUGGAUUUUGACCACUGGUCUUAUUUAUUGAAAUAUUCUUAUUAUUUUCCAAGUCAAAUAUGAUUUCACAAAUUGAAGUUUACCCUAUGGCUUCAUUUCCCUAAUUAUAUCCAAUGUUAACUUCAGACUUAAAAAUCCAGUUCUUCACACAUAUCCUUCGUGCAAGAAGUGAGGAAAUACCUUAACUAAGACUCCCACCUCAAGGAAAGAACACUGAACUGCUUGGAAAGAAAGCUUCCAAAGGAGGAAAAACACCGAUGCUUUCGUUUUGCUUCUGGAUAUUUACAGAACAACUUUCAACGAGAUUGCUGAUUUCAAAAGAAUAUGAAGUUUGUUUUCUUUAGCCAAAACAAAGUUGUGUAGGCCACUGGACAAGAAGAGAAACUGACCUUGCAGAGGGAAGGUGUGUGUGUGUGUGUGUGUGUGUGUGUGUGUGUGUGUGUGUAUGUGUGUGUGCGUGUGUGUAUGUGUGUGUGUACAAUACACACACAUAUAUAUGUAUAUAUAUACACAAUUUUAAUGAAAAAUACAGAUUUUGAAAAUGUAUUUUGAAAUAACCAGAAACACAAGCAGGCUAUACUUGUUGUAUGGAGGCGAGGAAUUAAGUUCGCAUAGAAAGAAUUUUCACCUUUGUGAAUGCAUAACCCAUGAACCAGUUUUUCAACUCAGUAUUCUAAAUUUGGCAACAAAGUUCUGCCUCCCAAGUAUAACCGAGUCCCGAGUAUUUUCUGUCUCGGGGAGGAGGUGGACACAGGUACUGCCGGCUCCUUCUCCCCCAAUCAAAAUUUCAAACUUAGAAAUCUGGCCUGUGUUGAGCACCGAAUUUACAGCAGGACCCCAAGGUUCAGAAGGGAACUUGAUGAGCUGGGAAAAGCCUGUCGGUAUGCUUGGGGCCACAGAUUCAGAGAAAUUAACUGGCUGUAGCCAAAACCAAAGCACUCAGCCCCCAAAAACAGUCUGCAAGAAACAUAGAGUUCUUUGAUGUGACAAGAAGAAUUAUAAAUAAAAUUGCUCCAAGGCA